rnacentral:rRNA from 1 species
CCUACGGGAGGCAGCAGUGAGGAAUAUUGGUCAAUGGACGCAAGUCUGAACCAGCCAUGCCGCGUGCAGGAAGACGGCUCUAUGAGUUGUAAACUGCUUUUGUACGAGGGUAAAUCCCGACACGUGUAUCGGGUUGAAAGUAUCGUACGAAUAAGGAUCGGCUAACUCCGUGCCAGCAGCCGCGGUAAUACGGAGGAUUCAAGCGUUAUCCGGAUUUAUUGGGUUUAAAGGGUGCGUAGGCGGGUCGAUAAGUUAGAGGUGAAAUCCCGGGGCUCAACUCCGGAACUGCAUCUGAUACUGGCGGGCUAGAGUACAGUUGAGGUAGGCGGAAUGCGUGGUGUAGCGGUGAAAUGCAUAGAGAUCAGACAGAACACCGAUUGCGAAGGCAGCUUACCAAACUGCGACUGACGUUGAGGCACGAAAGUGUGGGGAGCAAACAGGAUUAGAUACCCGGGUAGUC